CAAUCCCCAGUACCAAAAAAAAAUAAAACAGGCCCAGGGAUUUAGCUCAGUGGUUCCAGCGUCUGCCUCGCAAGCUCAAGGUCCCUAGUUCGAUCCCCAGUACCAAAAAAAAAAAAGUCUCCAUGGAAAGGGUUGCAAAGCAAACAAAAACAGCAGUUGCCUGUUAAGAUCUCACCCCCUCCAGCUCAGCCUUACCUUUCUCAUCUACAAUAUUUUCUGUGUUCCAAACCUAUUCCAGUUUCCAUGUGUUGGCCCAUUUAACAUAUUCAUGACGGGGCCAUAAUUCAUAUGUCUCACUUCUGGGCAACUCUGAAUCACUAGUGGUACAUGCAUGGCUGUCACAUUGGACAGUAUGGGACAGUCCCAUUGGAUGGUACAAGCCACCUGAUGGGACAGUCAUGCAUGUACCACCAGUGGCUCAACCCAACAGGAACAUGUUAAUCUUGGUAAGAUCCGAGAUAACAGAAAACUUGCCUUAGAGACAGAUUCUUUGGUAUCCUCCCUUUGACAGUUGAGGUAACCUGUUGAGUGUCCAUACAGCUGUGGUGGACUAACUGGGGCAGCUGGACUCCAACCUCUCCUUCCAACCACUGUUCUAUAGCUACUAUUUUUAAGGUAUAUUUACAUAUUUCUAUGUGUAUAAAAUUAUAUAUUAUUGAUGUAAAUGAACUGCAAAAUUUGGUAAGUUGACACAUCCAUGAAACCAUCACCAAAAUUAGUUUAGAAAAAACAGCCAAGUUUUCUCAUUCCCCUCUAACCUCCUGCUACCCCAAAGCAGCCACUCAUCAGCUUUCUGUCAUUGUAAAUAAGUUUGCAUUUGAAGUCUGACUUUUCAUUCAGCAUACUUAGUCCAUCCCUUUUUUUUUUUUUUACUUAGAAGUAGUAUUCCAUUGUGUGGAGUUUAUGUACUUAUCCUUUCCUGGACAUUUGAGUUUCCCAUUUUAGCUAUUACAGAUAAAGUUACUACUACCAAGGGAAGCAGUGAAAUGGCUGGAUCUUGAGGUAAGUGUAUGUUUAACCCAAAUGAUCAAGCUCUUUCCUAAGGUACUUGCAUCAUACUAUGUAUCAUAUACAUCAUGUCUCAUGAUUUUAAUUUAUAUUUCCCUAGUAACAAAUAAUAUUGAGGAUCUUUUCAUGUGCUUAUUAUCAUUCAUGUAUCUUCUUUGGUGAAGUGUCUGUUGAAAUCUUUUGUCCACUUUUUAUUAGAUGAUUUGGGUUUAGUUUUGAGAAUUCUUUACAUUUUGUCUGUACACGUCAUUUAUCAAAUGCUUUGCAAAGAUUUUUUUCUCAGUCUAUGGCUACGACUUGUGUUUUUGUUGUUUUGUUUCAUUUUGUUUGUUUGCAGUACUGGGGAUUGAUCCCAAGGACUUUGCACCAAGCUGCGUCCCCAGCCCUUUUGUUAUUUUUUUCACUUUUUUUUUUUUUUUUGCUUGUGAGGCAGGCGGCAGAACCACUGAGCUAAAUCCUUGGCCCUGUUAUUUUUUGUUUGAGACAGGGUCUCACUGAGUUUUCUAGGCUGGUUAUCCUUACCCUUUUGCCUUUGUGCCUUUGACAAAAAAUCAGUAAUCCAGGGCCGGGGCCAGGGAUUUAGCUCAGUGGUUCUGUCACCUGCCUUGCAAGCGCAAGGUCCUGAGUUCGAUCCCCAGUACAAAAAAAAAAAGUUAUACUCAUAUGAGUGAAUUUACUUCUAGAAUUUCUAUUCUGUUCCAUUGAUGUUUGUCUACUUGUAUGCUGAUACCUGUUUUUAGUACUACAGCUUUAUAAUAAUUCUUAAAAUCAAUUGCUGCUACCCUGUAAUUUUGUUUUCAGAGUUGAUUUGACCAUUUCAGGCGUUUCGCAUUUCCACAUGAGUCUUUGAAUCAUCUUGUUGAUUUCUACAAAAACUUGCUGAGGGCCAGGGAUGUAGCUCAGUGGCACUGUGCCUUCCUGGCAAGCGCGGGGUCCUGAGUUCAAUACCUGGUACCAAAAAAAAAAAAAGAGAGACUUGUUGGAAUUGUGUCAAAUCUCCCAACCCAUGAGCAAGUUAUACUUCUCCAUUUAUUUAAGUCACAUUUACUUUCUCUCAAAUAUUUUAUAUCUUUAGCGCCUAGGUUUUUCACAUCUUUAUUUUAUCCCCAGUACUAGGCAUUGAACCUAGGCCUUUGUACUCAGCCACAUCCCCAGACCUUCUAUUUUGAGAUAGGGUCUUGCUAAAUAAUCCAUGCUGGGCUCAAAUUUGUGAUCCUCUUGCCUCAGCCUCCCAGAGUGCUGGGAUUACAGGUAUGUGCCACCAGUUUUUCACAUCUUUUGUCAGACUUAAUCCCUAAAUAUUUCAUUAUUUUUGUGCUAUUAUAAAUGGUAUGGCUUUAUUUCUGAUUUUUCAUUGCUAGUAUAUAGAAAUGCAAUUGAUUUUUUAACAUUGAUCUUAUCCUAAAACCUUGCUGAACUCACUUUUUAGUUUCUAACAACUUUUUUAUAGAUUCCACAUUUUCUACAUAGGGGAUCAUGUUGAAUGUGAAUAAAAAGUUUUACAUCCUUUCCAGCCUAGAUACCUUCUAUUUCUUGCUCAAUUGUACUGGUUGCAACUUCCAAUACAGUGCUAAAUGGCGAAUAUCCCUAUCUUUAAUUUGCUCUUUUCUAGUUACUUAAGAUGGAAAUUGAGGCUGGGGAUUUGCCUCAGUGGUUCUGUCACCUGCCUCGAAAGCACAAGGUCCCAAGUUCAAUCCCCAGUACCACAAAAAAAAAAAGAUGGAAAUUGAGUGCACACCUGUAACCUCAGCACUCAGGAGGCUGAGGCAGGAGGAUUGUGGGUCAUUUUGACCAUGAGAAAGAGCCAGUAGACACGUGGUGCCAGAUCCAGUGAAUAAGGUGGAUGAAGUCACACCAUAAUGUCUACAACCCUGUCUUUCUGUUGGAUGGCACUCAGCCAAGCAUUCACCAUAUGUUUGAUCCAUACCUCUUAAAGACAUUGACAAAAGAACUUCAGAACUGCUUCAGAAAUUACAAGAACAGGGCUGGGGAUUUAUCUCAGUUGUGCCGCACCCGCCUCACAAGCACAAGGCCCUGAGUUCAAUCCCUGGUAGGGUGUGGGGUGCGGGGGUGGGGGGAGACACUAGAAUACAUGUGUUUGGGGGACCUUUAAGGGGGUUAGUGGCAAUAUGCCUUUUACCCUAAUGAUUUUUUAAAACUUAAGCACCAUACUUUUUGAUCAUCUGUAUAAUCUUAUUUGUUUUAUUCCUUUUCUGCUUGCUUUUGGGUAAAUUAAGUAUGCUUUGUGAUCCCAAUUUUAUCUCUUCCAUUGGCUUGUAAUUUUUUUUGUUUUAUUACUCUAGUAGUUGCUUUAGGGUUUAUAGUAUACAUCUUUAACUUAUUUAUUUUGUUUUGUUUUGUUUGGUACCGGGGAUCAAACUCAGGCCAUUGUGCUUUUGAGGCAGGCGACAGAACCACUGAGCUAAAUCCCCACCCUAUACAUCUUUAACUUAACCACAGUCUACCUUCAAGAAAUAUACCACUUCAUAUAUAGUUUUAAAACCUUGUAAUUGGGCUGGGGAUUUAGCUCAGUGGUUCAGGCGCCUGCCUCGCAAGCUCAAGGUCCCGAGUUCGAUCCCCGGUACCAAAAACAAACAAAAAAACCGUAUAAUAAUAUGUUUCCAUUUCUUUCCUCCUUGCCUUUAUAUUAAGAUGGUCAUAUUUUACAUGACUUACUAAUUCCAUCGUACAUUAUUAUUUUUACACAGUUGUCUUUCAAGAAUUUAAAAUAACAAGAAAAAUCUUACAUAUGUACCCAGGUAAUUACCAUUUCCAGUGAUCUCCAAUCCUUUGUAUACAGAUUUCCAUCUGGUGUAUAUUUUCCAUCUGACUGAACAUUUCUUGUAGUAGGGACCUGCUGGUGAUUAAUUUUCAGCUUUUGUAUGUCUAAAAUGUCUCAGAUUUGUCUUUGAAAGGUAUUUUUUGCUGAGAAUAAAAUUCUAGGUUGACAGAUUUUUUUCUUUCCUAGUACUUUAAAGAUGUUAUUUCACUUGCAUUGCUUAAAAUAGAAAAUUUGAUAUUGUCUUUGUUUCUUCUAUAUGUAAAAAGUCUUUUCUGUCUGACUGACCUUAAGGUUUUCAAUAUGUCACUGGUUUUAAACCAUUGGAUUAUGAGUUACCUAGAUGGAUGGUUGCUUGUUUGUUUGAAACGGGAUCUUACAAUACAGUUCAGGCUGGCCUUGAACUCACUAGGUAGUCCAUGCUGGCCUCAAGAUCCUCCUCCCUCACCCUUCUGAAUGCUGAGAUUAUAGGCAUACGUCAUCAUGCCUGGCUAGAGUUGUUUGUUUGGGGGGUUUUUGUUUGUUUGUUUGGGUUUUUUGUUUGUUUGUUUCUUGUGCUUAGGAUUUGUUGAGCUUCUUGGAUCCAUAAUUUCCAUUAAGUCUGGAAUAUUUUUGGCUAUUAUUUUUUCAAAUGUUUUCUCUUAUUCCCUUCAUUAGUUCUGAUUAUCUGUAUGUUAGCCAAAGGGAAGCUGUCUUAUAUCCCAAAUUGAAACUCUCCCCAUUAAAUAGUAACUCCUAGCCACUCUCCCCUAGCCCCUGGUAACCAGUAUUCUACUUUCUGUCUCUGGGAAUUUGACUAUUCUAGGUACCUCCUAUGAGUGGGGUAAUAUUUGCCUUUUUAUACCUGCCUCAUUUCACUUAGCAUAAUGUCUAUAAAGUUCAUCCAUGUUGUAGCAUGUGUCAGAAUUUCAUUUUUAAAGCUGAAUAAUAUUUGAUUAUAUGCAUAUACCCUAUGUUGUUUUUCCAUUUAUCCAUCAAGAAAUGUUGGGGUUGUUUUCACCUUUUGGCUAUUGGGAAAAGUUCUGCUGUGAACAUUGGUAUAAAAAUACCCGUUUGAGUCCCUGCUGUCAAGUUUUUGACGUGUACACUCAGGAGUAUAUUGCUGGAUCAUAUGAUUAUUUAAUUUUUUUGAGGAACUGCCAUAUUAUUUUCCACAUGGCUGCACCACUUUAUAUUCUCUUCAGCAAUGUUCAAGAGCUUCAAGUCUUCCACAGCUUCACCAAUACUUGUUAUUUGCUUUUACUGAUAAUACCCAACCUAGUGGGUAUAUGGCUUUGAUUUGCAUUUACCUAAUAUUAAUGAUGUUGAGCAGAUUUCAUGUGUAUAUUGGCCAUCUGUAUACCUUUUUUUGAAAACUGUUUAAUUGGAUUUUUUUUUUGCUGAGCUAUAUAGGUACUUUAUAUAGUAUGAAUCUUCUUUCAUUCUGUGGGUUGCCUUUUCACUUUUAUGAGUGUGUCCUUUCAUAUGCAGAAGUUUAAUUUUGAUGAAGCCUAAUUUAUCUAUUUUUUUUCUUUUGUUGCUUGUACUUUUGGUGUUAUUGCCAAAUUCAAUGUAAAAAAACCUUUCCCCCUAUAUUUUCUCCUAGGAAGUCUAUAGGUUUUGCAUUACAUAUAAGUCUUUGAUCUAUUGUGAA